rnacentral:rRNA from 1 species
UACAGGGGGGGCAAGCGUUGUUCGGAAUUACUGGGCGUAAAGGGCCCGUAGGUGGCCAACUAAGUCAGACGUGAAAUCCCUCAGCUUAACUGGGGAACUGCGUCUGAUACUGGAUGGCUUGAGUUUGGGAGAGGGAUGCGGAAUUCCAGGUGUAGCGGUGAAAUGCGUAGAUAUCUGGAGGAACACCGGUGGCGAAGGCGGCAUCCUGGACCAACACUGACACUGAGGAGCGAAAGCCAGGGGAGCAAACGGG